rnacentral:rRNA from 1 species
AAUUCAGAUUGGGGAAUAUUGCACAAUGGGCGAAAGCCUGAUGCAGCCAUGCCGCGUGUGUGAAGAAGGCCUUCGGGUUGUAAAGCACUUUCAGCGAGGAGGAAAGGUUAGUAGUUAAUAGCUACUAGCUGUGACGUUACUCGCAGAAGAAGCACCGGCUAACUUCGUGCCAGCAGCCGCGGUAAUACGAGGGGUGCAAGCGUUAAUCGGAAUUACUGGGCGUAAAGCGUGCGUAGGUGGUUUGUUAAGCAAGAUGUGAAAGCCCUGGGCUCAACCUGGGAACUGCAUUUUGAACUGGCAAGCUAGAGUUUUGUAGAGGGUAGUGGAAUUUCCAGUGUAGCGGUGAAAUGCGUAGAGAUUGGAAGGAACAUCAGUGGCGAAGGCGGCUACCUGGACAAAGACUGACACUGAGGCACGAAAGCGUGGGGAGCAAACAGGAUUAGAUACCCUGGUAGUCCACGCCGUAAACGAUGUCAACUAGCCGUCUGUAGACUUGAUCUGUGGGUGGCGUAGCUAACGCGCUAAGUUGACCGCCUGGGGAGUACGGCCGCAAGGUUAAAACUCAAAGGAAUUGACGGGG